UUUGCUGGACAAAUCCUUUUGCUCGAACUGGUUCUGCAGAUGGAUAUAUCCACUAAUACAGGACUAUUAAAGGCCCAGUGCACUAAUUUUGUGGAACAAAAAAAAGUUACAUUAGUAUUUUUUAUUCUGCAGCACCCUCAGCACCCCUACUUCCAGUGGUAUGCCUGUGAGGAGUAGAUCUGUGCCAGCACAGAGGAAUAGGCCAAGGAGUGAUAUAUGCUUCAGUAAGGUGGGCUUCUUAGCAUUCAUAGCAAUGGUUAUCAACUCUACCUCAGAAAUGGAAUGUCAAUCACAGAAAAUAGAUGUUCUGUUGGCAGCUGCAGUAUUUGGGUGUACGAGAUUUGACUUCUGAAUAGUUAGAGAGUGUGUUGAGAGAUGAUGUCCUGUCCUCCCAGACCGUUGGCAUGGUGCAGGAGCAGGUAGGGUCAAAGUAGUAGAAUUGGGUAGUCAGAAGGGUGUAUUAUUAUUAUUUUUUAAAUGGUAUAUAUUUUUGGGGUAUCACAAAGUAUAAUGGAUUUAUACUAUAGUCCAGUUGGGGGCAUUAAUGCAACAUAUUAGAUGCCUACAGCCGUUAAACCCCACCGAAGAAGAUGAAGAAGACAUGCAGCACUAUCUCACAGGCUGCUUGUCGCCCCCAAGACCAGAACCAAUCGCAUGCAGGGAACAAUGAGUCAUCAAAGCCACAUUCAAACAGAGCCAGAAAGCUGAAGCCUAGAGGAAAAAGGACAAUGACCCAACACACCUCCAGGCGGUGUAAGGACUAUUUGACCAAGAAGGAGAGUGAUGGAAUGCUGCAUCAGAUGACCUGGCCUCAAACCAAUUGAGAUGGUUUGGGAUGAGUUGGACCGCAGAGUGAAGGAAAAACAGCCAACAAAUGCUCAGCAUAUGUGGGAACUCCUUCAAGACUGUUGGAAAAGCAUUCCAGGUGAAGCUGGUUGAGAGAAUGCCAAGAGUGUGCAAAGCUGUCAUCAAGACAAAGGGAGGCUACUUAGAAGAAUCUCAAAUAUAAAAUAUACUUUGAUUUGUUUAAUGCUUUUUUGGUUACUACAUGAGUCCAUGUGUGUUAUUUCAUAGUUUUGAUGUCUUCACUAUUAUUCUACAAUGUAAAAAAUAAUAAAAUAAAGAAAAACCCUUGAAUCAGUAGGUGUGUCCAAACUUUUGAAUGGUACUGUGUUUUUGGAAUGUUCAUUCAAAUCGCCACAGUUUUUAUUUCAGCUGUUCAGAAAUAUGAGGCAGAGACAGAUGCUAACUAUAUUACCUUUUUUCCUCUAGGCAUCAGCUUUCUGGCGGUGUUUGAAUGUGGCACAAUGGUUCUUUGUUCCUUGCAUGCGAUUGGCUCUGGUGUUGGGCAGACCCAUUGCCAGGAUAAGGGGAUAGUUGAAAUCAUCGAGAGGGCAAUAUUUUUUGGGGUUCUUUGCAUUGAAAUGAUAUUGAAUUGUGCUUAUAUCAUGCUAUACCACAAUAAACAAAAUUACGAGUCUGAGUGCUAUGAGUGUUAUGAGUGCUUUUGAAGUGACAGUGAGGUUGGCGCAAAAUCUGUAGUCAAUCUCAGCGAACAGAACAAAACAGAGGUAGUAGGCAUAGUAAACUAAAUAUCAGAUCAAUAAAGGCAUGACCUAAACUUAUAAACAAAAAUAUAAACGCAACAUGUAAAGUGUUAGUGCCAUGUUUCAUGAGCUGAAAUAAAAGAGCUCAGAAAUUUUCCAUACGCACAAAAAGCUUAUUUUCUUCAAAUUUUGUUCACAAAUUUGUUUACAUCCCUGUUAGUGAGCAUUUCUCCUUUGCCAAGAUAAUCCAUCAAUCUGGCAGGGGUGGCAUAUCAAGAAGCUGAUUAAACAGCAUUAUCAUUAUACAGGUGCACCUUGUGUUGGGUACAAUAAAAGGCCACUCAAAAAUGUGCAGUUUUGAGUGUGCAAUUGGCAUGCUGACAGCAGGAAUGUCCACCACAGCUGUUGCCAGAUAAUUUACUGUUAAUUUCUCUACCAUGUUGUCUUCGAGAAUUUGGCAGUACGUCCAACCUGCCUCGCAACCGCAGACCACGUUUACCCACGUCAGCCCAGGACCUCCACAUCCGGCUUCUUCACCUGCAGGAUUGUCUGAGACCAGCCACCCGGACAGGAAACUGUGAAAUGAGAACAGGAACCAGUCACCAAGAGCAGCAGACAGAUUCUCAGAAGUGUGAUCAUACAGUGAGAGCCGACCACUGUGACUUCCAUUUGCAUCCUCCAUCCUGCACAAAACCCUAGACGUACUGUCUAUGAAAUCCUGCCUGUUCUCCAAGACUCAUGUCUAUGAAACCCUGCCCGUUCUCCAAGACUCAUGCCUAUGAAACCCUGCCCGUUCUCCAAGACUCAUGCCUAUGAAACACUGCCCGUUCUCCAAGACGUCAUGUCUAUGAAACCCUGCCCGUUCUCCAAGACGUCAUCUCUAUGAAACCCUGCCCGUUCUCCUAGAGGUCAUGUCUAUGAAACCCUGCCCGUUCUCCUAGAGGUCAUGUCUAUGAAACCCUGCCCGUUCUCCAAGACGUCAUCUCUAUGAAACCCUGCCCGUUCUCCAAGACGUCAUCUCUAUGAAACCCUGCCCGUUCUCCAAGACGUCAUCUCUAUGAAACCCUGCCCGUUCUCCAAGACAUCAUCUCUAUGAAACCCUGCCCGUUCUCCAAGACAUCAUGUCUAUGAAACCCUGCCCGUUCUCCAAGACAUCAUGUCUAUGAAACCCUGCCCGUUCUCCUAGACGUCAUGUCUAUGAAGCCCUGCCCGUUC